rnacentral:rRNA from 1 species
UACGGAGGGAGCUAGCGUUUGUUCGGAAUUACUGGGCGUAAAGCGCACGUAGGCGGCUUUUUAAGUCAGGGGUGAAAUCCCGGGGCUCAACCCCGGAACUGCCCUUGAAACUGGAGAGCUAGAAUCUUGGAGAGGCGAGUGGAAUUCCGAGUGUAGAGGUGAAAUUCGUAGAUAUUCGGAAGAACACCAGUGGCGAAGGCGACUCGCUGGACAAGUAUUGACGCUGAGGUGCGAAAGCGUGGGGAGCAACAGG